rnacentral:rRNA from 1 species
UACGGGAGGGUGCGAGCGUUGUCCGGAAUCACUGGGCGUAAAGGGCGCGUAGGUGGUCUUGUAAGUCUGUGGUGAAAGCCCGGGGCUCAACCCCGGGUCUGCCGUGGAUACUGUGAGCACUUGAGUGCUGUAGAGGCAGGGUAGAAUAUCGGGGUGUAGCGGUGGAAUGCGUAGAGAUCCGAUAGAAGACCGGUGGCGAAGGCGGCCUGCUGGGCAGUAACUGCACUGAGGCGCGACAGCGUGGGGGAGCAAACAGG